rnacentral:rRNA from 1 species
GAUGAACGCUGGCGGCGUGCCUAAUACAUGCAAGUCGAGCGAACAGACGAGGAGCUUGCUCCUCUGACGUUAGCGGCGGACGGGUGAGUAACACGUGGAUAACCUACCUAUAAGACUGGGAUAACUUCGGGAAACCGGAGCUAAUACCGGAUAAUAUAUUGAACCGCAUGGUUCAAUAGUGAAAGACGGUUUUGCUGUCACUUAUAGAUGGAUCCGCGCCGCAUUAGCUAGUUGGUAAGGUAACGGCUUACCAAGGCAACGAUGCGUAGCCGACCUGAGAGGGUGAUCGGCCACACUGGAACUGAGACACGGUCCAGACUCCUACGGGAGGCAGCAGUAGGAAAUCUUCCGCAAAGGGCGAAAGCCUGACGGAGCAACGCCGCGUGAGUGAUGAAGGUCUUCGGAUCGUAAAACUCUGUUAUUAGGGAAGAACAAAUGUGUAAGUAACUAUGCACGUCUUGACGGUACCUAAUCAGAAAGCCACGGCUAACUACGUG